rnacentral:lncRNA from 1 species
AGCAUCCUUGCUUAUCAGCACCUCUUCAGACAGGAAUUCGGGUUCAACCAAGGGUUCUCCCCUCUUUCCUGGGAGAAAUCUGGCACCCAAGGGGAAAAAAAAUCACCCCACAUCUACAUCAACAGCCAGGUAUCCUGAAAAGCUGUAGAUUUCCUUGCCUUGGAGUGACUGUCUGCAGUAGGAUGGGCCUGAGCAAGGGACAGCGAUGGAAACAGAAACCUGAGGCAAUGUAAGAACUGGACUGGGAGCUUCCAAAAGAGUGACACAUUUGGCUGAGGACAGAGAGUCUUGGCAGUGCUGCAGCUGGUCCAUCAUCCUGCUGGAGAAAGAAUGAGGCCAUGAAGCUGAUUAGGGAGGAAACAAUGACCUUAAUUUUGUUUCCAAAGAGGCUCCAAAGAGGCUACUCUUUCCUUAAGUGAAAUGAAAAGAAAAAACUAAUUAAAAAAAAAAAAAGAAAGAAAGAAAAAAAGCACAAUGUUAUUUGUAGAAGUGAAAUACAAGAUAAUAUAGCAUGCAUUUAGUGACUAGUGGAAACUAUUUUGGUCUAUCUGUUAAGGCACUGCAAGGGUAACGUCAGAGAGAGGCGUGUUGCCUCCUCGAACUCUCUCUGGAGUCAUGAUGCUCACAGGGGUCUGAGAAGAGGAUGCCACAAUGAAAUUCCAGUCUGCAGAAAAAGCACUGCUGAGCCUCAGUUUACCCCAUCCAGGAAAAUUAAGUAACACACAAUUUCUG